GAAGUACUCCCUCCAUCCAAAAAAGCUUGUCCCUCAAAUGGAUGUAUCUAGCAUCAAUUUAGCGCUAGAUACAUCCAUUCGGGGGACAAGCUUGGGACAAGCUUUUUCAGACGGAGGGAGUAGCAG
rfam:Triticum aestivum genome assembly, contig: Triticum_aestivum_CS42_TGACv1_scaffold_220750_3B